rnacentral:misc_RNA from 1 species
AACGCAUCUUGCGCUCCUUGGUAUUCCGAGGAGCAUGCCCGUUUGAGUGUCGCGAACUCCGUCGACCCCUCGCAGGUUUCUCCUGGGAUGGUGUGUCGGAUUUGGACGUCUGCCGCGCAUCGUAGCGGCUCGUCUCGAAAUGCAUUAGCUGGGUCACCUCUUGCUGAGUCGGCAGCGGCGUGAUAAAUCUACUUUAUUCUUCGCCGUGCUCGAGGACUCCGAGGGUCCCGCUUCCAACCGUCCCUCCCCAUGGGACAAAUUCAACCUUCUUGACCUCAAAUCGGGUAGGACUACCCGCUGAACUUAA